UACCAUGCAGUCGAACGAUGAACCACCUUCGGGUGGGGAUUAGUGGCGAACGGGUGAGUAACACGUGGGCAAUCUGCCCUGCACUCUGGGACAAGCCCUGGAAACGGGGUCUAAUACCGGAUACUGACCUGCCGAGGCAUCUCGGCGGGUCGAAAGCUCCGGCGGUGCAGGAUGAGCCCGCGGCCUAUCAGCUUGUUGGUGAGGUAAUGGCUCACCAAGGCGACGACGGGUAGCCGGCCUGAGAGGGCGACCGGCCACACUGGGACUGAGACACGGCCCAGACUCCUACGGGAGGCAGCAGUGGGGAAUAUUGCACAAUGGGCGCAAGCCUGAUGCAGCGACGCCGCGUGAGGGAUGACGGCCUUCGGGUUGUAAACCUCUUUCAGCAGGGAAGAAGCGAGAGUGACGGUACCUGCAGAAGAAGCGCCGGCUAACUACGUGCCAGCAGCCGCGGUAAUACGUAGGGCGCAAGCGUUGUCCGGAAUUAUUGGGCGUAAAGAGCUCGUAGGCGGCUUGUCGCGUCGGUUGUGAAAGCCCGGGGCUUAACCCCGGGUCUGCAGUCGAUACGGGCAGGCUAGAGUUCGGUAGGGGAGAUCGGAAUUCCUGGUGUAGCGGUGAAAUGCGCAGAUAUCAGGAGGAACACCGGUGGCGAAGGCGGAUCUCUGGGCCGAUACUGACGCUGAGGAGCGAAAGCGUGGGGAGCGAACAGGAUUAGAUACCCUGGUAGUCCACGCCGUAAACGGUGGGCACUAGGUGUGGGCAACAUUCCACGUUGUCCGUGCCGCAGCUAACGCAUUAAG
rnacentral:rRNA from 1 species